CCUACGGGUGACAGCAGUGAGGAAUAUUGGUCAAUGGGCGCGAGCCUGAACCAGCCAAGUAGCGUGAAGGAUGACUGCCCUACGGGUUGUCAACUUCUUUUAUAAAGGAAUAAAGUGAGGCACGUGUGCCUUUUUGUAUGUACUUUAUGAAUAAGGAUCGGCUAACUCCGUGCCAGCAGCCGCGGUAAUACGGAGGAUCCGAGCGUUAUCCGGAUUUAUUGGGUUUAAAGGGAGCGUAGAUGGGUUGUUAAGUCAGUUGUGAAAGUUUGCGGCUCAACCGUAAAAUUGCAAUUGAUACUGGCAGUCUUGAGUACAGUUGAGGUAGGCGGAAUUCGUGGUGUAGCGGUGAAAUGCUUAGAUAUCACGAAGAACCCCGAUUGCGAAGGCAGCUUACCGGCGCCCAACUGACACUGAUGCACGAAAGCGUGGGUAUCGAACAGGAUUAGAUACCCUUGUAGUC
rnacentral:rRNA from 1 species